CCAGACUCCUACGGGAGGCAGCAGUGGGGAAUAUUGCACAAUGGGGGAAACCCUGAUGCAGCGACACCGCGUGGGUGAAGAAGCGCUUCGGCGUGUAAAGCCCUAUCAGUGGGGAAGAAAAAGGACGGUACCCAAAGAAGAAGCACCGGCUAAAUACGUGCCAGCAGCCGCGGUAAUACGUAUGGUGCAAGCGUUAUCCGGAUUUACUGGGUGUAAAGGGAGCGCAGGCGGCACGGCAAGCCUGAUGUGAAAGCCCGCGGCCCAACCGCGGGACUGCAUUGGGAACUACCGGGCUGGAGUGCCGGAGAGGUAGGCGGAAUUCCUAGUGUAGCGGUGAAAUGCGUAGAUAUUAGGAGGAACACCAGUGGCGAAGGCGGCCUGCUGGACGAUGACUGACGCUGAGGCUCGAAAGCGUGGGGAGCAAACAGGAUUAGAUACCCGAGUA
rnacentral:rRNA from 1 species